UGGUGGGGAGAGUUGAUAAAAAUGUACUGCAUUCUACAAAAAUGAAUGUUUUGGUAUUUAAUGUUUCUUGAAAGGUUUUCUCUUUAUGGAAUGGCUUUCAAAGCCUUGUAUUGAUCUUGGUUGUGCCCAGUGCUUUGCCUAGUGUAUGGGGAGAUGUUGUAGAACUUGAAUAGGCCAUGAAAUCUUAGACAAAGGAUGAUGAUUAUGUGCAUGCUGAACACGAACUUCUUCUAUAUGCCCUUCUGCUGCAACAGAAUAAUAAAACUGGUAGGUGGCAGCAGCAGCAGCAGCAGCAGCAGCAGAAGAAACUCAUGACUGGGACCUGAGAAACCUCCAGUACUGGGAGAAAUGGAUUGCAAAAUACUAACUGGAGUAAGGGGAAUGGAGGAGAAAGGCAGAGUCCCUGAACUGUCCCUUUGAAUGGAGCCUAAUGCGUGCGAAAGAUGCUGGAUCACCAGUUGCAGAGAUUGAACUCUACCCACUGGAAAGGUUUUUCUGCAGCAACAGGAGGUCGUCUUUUGCCUCUCGUGGGGACAUUUAGCCUUUUGAUAAUGCCUCCAUCACAAUGAAGGGAAGAAAGGAUGGACCAGCAAUGAUGUGGAAUGGAGUGAUGUCCACACAUGGCGUUAAAAGUCAUUAUGAUCCCUGUCCUAAUAACAUGGAGAACUGAAUAAAGAGUUUAAUUGUA